GCCCCUAUGGUCCAGUGGUUACGACCUCUCUCUUUCACUCACGGAGAAAACGAGGGUUCAAGUCCCUCUGGGGGUA
rnacentral:tRNA from 1 species